GCCCUGGUAGCUCAGUUGGUUAGAGCAUCGUCUGGAUACGCUAAGCUUGUGGGUUCAAUCCCCGGUCAGGGUA
rfam:Myotis brandtii contig214452, whole genome shotgun sequence.